GGUUGAUGGCUGAUUAAGCUAGCCCCCCCCCCCCCCCAUUAAAAAGGGGGCUUAGGUAGUCGAUGCAUUACAGAUCAAAAUGCUUCAAACUGGCUAAAUAAGGCAAUGAUAAAAGAGCAUGAAAAGGGACAUGCAAGUCAAUAUAAGAACUAACACUAUAUUUAUAAAGCCAUUUAAAAGCCAAGUCCAGUUUAGUCACUUUAUGUUGAGUAUAGGAGCGUUUCAUUCAGAACCAGAGGGUUUAUAUUCUCUACAGUUUCCACUUGUAAAAAUGUGGUUGAUGGUCUUGUGUAAAUUUUGGUUCUCAAAGUGGGGUACGGGAACCCCCGGGGUCCUUGAAGGAGUUUCAGUGGGUCCCUAGCAAAAAAGGAAUCAUUUAUUUCACUAUAAUUCCAUCCCUAAGUGACACAAUGACAGAUUGGAUGACUAUUUUGGUUGAGAGUUUCAAACAUUUUCUGUAAUAAAACAUCUAAAAGCAAAAGUCCUGUCAGAUGGGGGGUCAGGUCAUAG